CGAUUCGCGGCCUAUCAGCUUGUUGGUGGGGUAGUGGCCUACCAAGGCGACGACGGGUAGCCGGCCUGAGAGGGCGACCGGCCACACUGGGACUGAGACACGGCCCAGACUCCUACGGGAGGCAGCAGUGGGGAAUAUUGCGCAAUGGGCGAAAGCCUGACGCAGCGACGCCGCGUGAGGGAUGACGGCCUUCGGGUUGUAAACCUCUUUCAGCUCCGACGAAGCCUUCGGGUGACGGUAGGGGCAGAAGAAGCACCGGCCAACUACGUGCCAGCAGCCGCGGUAAUACGUAGGGUGCAAGCGUUGUCCGGAAUUAUUGGGCGUAAAGAGCUCGUAGGCGGUUUGUCGCGUCGACUGUGAAAACUCAGGGGCUCAACUCCGAGCUUGCAGUUGAUACGGGCAGACUAGAGUUCGGCAGGGGAGACUGGAAUUCCUGGUGUAGCGGUGAAAUGCGCAGAUAUCAGGAGGAACACCGGUGGCGAAGGCGGGUCUCUGGGCCGAUACUGACGCUGAGGAGCGAAAGCGUGGGGAGCGAACAGGAUUAGAUACCCUGGUAGUCCACGCCGUAAACGUUGGGCGCUAGGUGUGGGGUCCCUUCCACGGGUUCCGUGCCGCAGCUAACGCAUUAAGCGCCCCGCCUGGGGAGUACGGAAUCUAG
rnacentral:rRNA from 1 species